GCUUUCAACCAUCAAACUCUUCAGGGUUGGGGACUUCACAAGAGCAGGCCUGGCUGCAGAUUCAAAAGCAGGGAGGAGAUUCAUCAGUGGGACAAAGGGCAGAAUUACCUGAAUGAGGGCGAGGUUACUGCUGAUAACUCUGUGCUGCUCUUGGGGGUCAUCAAUUUGUCCAGUGUUGGCCUAGGAUGGAGAGAAAAGGACAAAAGCAUGAUGGACACCUCAGACACAGCAUGGAACCAUCAUGGCAUCCCAGGCGACUCUUCUUUCAUAAAGGUAGACUAAUACCCAUCUUAGGGGUGCGCACAGGGACAAGCUACUAAGGUGAGCAGAAUACAGCCACAGAGCCUGCCAUGGGCCAAACACGUGAGGCCAACAGGCUUGUUUCCUCUCUCAGUCUCCCACUACACUAGACUCAAUGGAACUGUUUGCUGUUUCCUAGCAAUGAGCCAAUUCAAACCCUGGUACUCACCAGGUAAGGGGUGCUAUUGGCCCAAGACUCCUGAGUUGAAUCAGA